UCCUGUUUUCUUGGCAAGUGCUCACCUAUCUGGCCAGGUGACAAUACCUGCUCGAUGGAGCAAACAAUCCCCUGCCUGGAGCAAUGCUGAGCUACUACAGCUGAUCAGUGUUUGGGGAGAGGAAGCUGACAGUGCAGGGAACCAGGAUGCC